UGCGCACACACCAACACCAUUAAAAUGCUAGCACACUAGCAAACGUGCGAGAGCGUGUUACUCUCUUUCUCUCUCUGAGUCGUGUCGCUUUAAAGUGCAAUGUUAGAGCAAAGACAACGAGGAACGACGACGGAGCAACAACGAAGAAUGCAGAAGCAGCGGAAGCAGCAGCACUACGUAGCGAACGCAACACAACAAUAAUUAAAAGUGCAACAAUUACAACAACCAAAACAACAACAACAACCAACAUGUGAAUUGCGUUUUUUUUUUACCAAAACCAAAACAAAACCACGAAGAACAAGUGUAGCCAGAGCCUGAGAGAGAGGGAGAGUGAAAGAAGGAGAAAGCGAAAAGCGAAGAGCGCCAUAAGAAAGAGACAAAGAAAGAAAAAGCCGCCAAAAUAUUAUAGCAACAGCAACAAAAACAUAAACAACAACAACUAGCAACAAACCAACAGCAAAUAACAACAACAAAUGUAAUAUAAAUAACGGUUCAAGCAAAACCAAAAAACAAUUUCGCGCGCGCUCUUUUUCCUUCUACCCUUUGUUUCUCUCAAAGACGGACGAGGACGAACACUGACAACACACACAAACAAAAAAUACAAAAAAAAAAACAACAAAACCGCUGCUUCUACGAAUUAUAUUUUGUUCGUCAAACAUCUUUUUUGAAAACUUCAAUCGUCAUUUAAUCAUCGUCAUAAUAACCACUCCAAUAAAACUCCACUCCCCCCGCAAUAUUCCGGAAACAGCAAACAAACAAAACAACAACAAUUUGAAAAGUGGCUAGAACAAAAACA
rnacentral:sRNA from 1 species